UCGGCUGCCAAAGGUCGCGAUGCACGCGAUUCGGGCGUGUAAUGCGUUGUUUUGCGGCGAUUGACUCCUAUUGAGCGGCGGGCAGGAGCCGGCGAAGGUCGCCCCCCUCCAACGCCCUCCUCCUCGGCCGGCUCCGCGGCCGUGCGGAGAGGCCCCGUGACGUACACCCGUGUUACUAUGCAGACUUCGGCCGCUGAUAGUCGCCAUGUCACUUGUGCAACAUCACUGCAGCUUCGGCGGAGGAGACUCUUGGAAUAAACCGCUGCCACGUCGUCCGCUGCCCUGGGAUAAAGCAGCAGGGUGUAAAUUGGACGCGUAUAAGUCGCAGUUUCGGCGGCGGUGUGGCAUGGACCGUUGUGCUGUACAGGCUGCAGUCAUUCGACGCGCAGGUCGGAUUCAGUGUCGAUGACUCCAUCCAUCUGAGUGUCGCAUAUUUUGCAAGGAACGUGGCAGUUCUGGGUGUGGAAUAAGGCGGAAAGGUAAGCAGACAUUUCUUUGGCUGCUGGUUUGUCCUGACUGCAAGAAGAAACGACGUAGCCGCUGCUCUUAUGUAGGGCAGAGAGCGCCACCCGGCAAGAUUGCAUUCCGGACCUCCUUACUCCCGCUGGCUUGUGGCACAUUUAUAGCCCGCUGGCGGGCCGGCGCAACCUCUGCAUCCUCUGCCGGAAUGGAUGUCCGCCGCUGUAAUGAGAACGGCCGUCGCGUCAGCUGGCUUUUUCAGCCACGACUCACACAUCGCGCAGCGGUCGCGGUAACAUCAUUCCUUCCACUGAAUUCACGAUGGAAGAAUGAGUCUACAUUUGAUUUUACGUUCAUUUGGGAAGAUAGUGAU